GCUCAUCACAGUCAUUUACACAAGGAAGCGGCAGAGCAUUUGCCCAGAAUGGUUCUUCUGGUGAUAAAGAAACAGAUUUAAAUAGGAGGACUUUGUGAAGAACCUACACAAAGCUCCACUGAAACUCCCAUCCUGAUACUGUGAAGUCCCAAAACCUCAUUCCCACCUGAGGGAGGAGGGAGGCCUUGUCACCCACACACCCAGGGCGGGAUUUCUGUGUUUGCUUUGUUUUGUUUUUUAAAAAAAUCGUCAUCUCUAAUGCAAUGCACCUGACAUCUCGUGUCAUGUGCUUUCCUCAUCCUUUUUCACACUUGUUCCUUGUGUUUCCUUUCCUUCUUCUUCUUCUUUUGUAUUGUGACUCCCCCUGUAUCUGAGCACAUAUCCCUUUUCCUGGGCAUCGGAGACAUGCUGAAGUGCCGACACCUGCAGGGUGGGCUCCUUAACCUGAGCUGGACAUCCCUCGACAGUCAGCAGAGGCACUCACGGGAGCAGUUCUGCCCACAUUUCAGACAUCUAAACAUCUGGUCCUGCUGAAGAGGAAGCAUGUAGUAUGAGACAACUGAUGCACAUGAGAGGGCUGCUGGACACUGUCCUGGGGCAACCAGGAGCAUCUGCCUAGCCUGGGGACUCCGUUGGGACCUCCUUUGCCAGGAGAGAAGCUGGGAUUGUUGUCCAUGGGACAGUCACAGCCCUGGAAGAAGCCUGGCUGGCCAUCCCAAGGAAGUGCCCUGAGUGUGGGCACGCCACAAGGGGAGCAUGACCUGGGAGGAGGGUGGCAGCCGUCUCUUUGGCACCAUCACUGCUGCAGGCAGAGGGCUGGGUCCAGGGUAAUUCCUUAAUGACCGCACCGAGGAGCACAGAUGGGGCUUGCUGGCUGCUAAUUCAGCUUUCCCAGGGUAAUGCUUCCUCCAGUUUCAUGCCUUUCCCUCUAAUAAAGUUCUGCUCAUCCCAA